GCAGAAUUCCGUGAAUCAUCGAGUCUUUGAACGCAAGUUGCGCCCGAGGCUUGUCCAAGGGCAUUUCCGCUAGAGCGUCACC
rnacentral:rRNA from 1 species